UUAUGUGGCUUUGGAUUCUUCUGGAAAUUUGUGCCUGCCAGCUUUUCUCGGGCACUGGCUGCAAAUGUAGGAUUACAAUGUACAAUCUGUCUUAAGUAAAGGUAAAAGGAAAAGAAAGAGAGAGCAUUUAGGUGGGAUAAUUCUGGGCUCAGAGAGAGAGAGAGAGAGAGAGAGAGAGAGAGAGAUGUUGGAGAAUUGGAGAGUGGCGGCAGUGGUCUUCAGCCUCUGCAUUUUGGGACCGAGGCCCAGUUCCGUUGAUGCUGCCACAGACCCAUCAGAAGCUGCUGCUCUGAGGGACAUGUAUAGCAGUUUAAAUUCUCCUCCUCAGCUAACCCAAUGGAGUUCAACUGGUGAUGACCCAUGUGGGCAGUCUUGGAAAGGCGUUACUUGCACAGGCUCACGAGUGACAGAAAUUAAAUUGUCUGGGCUUGGACUUUCUGGAUCGAUGGGGUACCAUCUCUCAAGUUUGACCAUGUUAACCAACCUAGACAUGAGCAAUAAUAAUCUUGCAGGCGAGAUACCUUAUUCACUUCCUCCAAAUGUGUCACAACUGAAUCUUGCUUAUAAUACAUUUAAUAAAGGCGUCCCUUAUUCCAUUUCUCAGAUGGCUUCUCUUAAAUACCUAAACAUCAGUCACAAUCAACUACAGGAACAACUGUUUGACGCCUUUGGACAACUUUCUUCUCUCUCUACAUUGGAUCUUUCAUUCAAUUCUCUGCCGGGAAACCUCCCACAGAGUUUCAGCUCCCUCUCAAGUAUGACCUCAAUGUAUUUGCAAAACAACCUGUUUACAGGCAAUAUUGAUGUCCUUGCCAAUCUUCCCCUGGAGAAUCUGAAUAUUGAAAAUAACCAUUUCACUGGCUGGAUUCCUGAACAAUUGCAAAACAUUAAUCUGCAGAAAAAUGGAAAUUCAUGGAGCUCAGAGCCUGCACCCCCGCCUCCACCUGGUACACCUCCAGCCAGAAAAAGACCAAAUCACAAAUCUGGUGGCAAUGAAAGCCCAUCAGAUGGUUCGGGAGGUGGCAACAAACCAGGAAUAGGAGGUGGUGGCAUAGCAGGAAUAGUCAUAUCCAUCUUUAUUGUUGGGGCAAUAGUUGCAUUCUUUUUAAUGAAGAGAAGAUCCAGGAGGCCAUUGUCAGAUAUUGAGAAGCUUGAUAAUCAGCCCUUUGCUCCUCUUGCUUCAAUUGAAGUCCAAGAAAUGAAGGCGGUACAAACUUCUUCCGUAAUCAAGACACAUUCUUUUGAUACUAAUGCCUCAAUAAAUCUUAGACCCCCACCCAUCGAUCGUCACAAAUCAUUUGAUGAAGAUUGUUUUCCCCAGAAGCCUAUUGUUGCCAAGAAAGCUAACAUAGCUCCUAUAAAUGCAACGUCAUAUUCAGUAGCAGACCUGCAGAUGGCUACUGACAGCUUCAGUGUAGAAAACCUUCUGGGUGAGGGGUCUUUUGGACGUGUUUAUCAAGGUCGAUUUGAUGACGGGAAGAUUCUUGCUGUGAAGAAAAUAGAUUCAUCUGCCCUUCCUGCUGAAUUGUCAGAAGAAUUCACAGAGAUGGUUUCAAACAUCUCCCAGCUGCAUCAUCAAAAUAUAGCAGAGCUAGUUGGUUAUUGUUCAGAGCAUGGGCACCAUCUGCUAGUUUAUGAGUUCCAUAAAAGUGGCUCACUUCAUGACUUCCUUCAUCUAUAUGAUGAUUACAGCAAACCGUUGACGUGGAACUCCCGCGUCAAGAUUGCUUUGGGGAUUGCACGUGCAUUGGAGUACCUACAUGAAGUUUGCUCUCCAUCUGUAGUUCACAAGAAUAUCAAGUCAGCCAACAUUUUGCUGGAUGCAGAACUGAAUCCUCACCUGUCAGACUCUGGCCUAGGAAGCCUUGUCCCAAAUGCAGAUCAGAUUUUGAGCCGGAAUGCAGGAUCUGGAUAUAGUGCAACUGAGGUUGCCAUGUCUGGUCAGUAUACUCUUAAGAGUGAUGUUUACAGUUUCGGAGUGGUGAUGUUGGAGCUUCUUAGCGGGCGCAAACCAUUUGAUAGCACAAGGCCAAGAUCUGAGCAGUCCUUGGUUCGAUGGGCAACACCUCAGCUCCAUGAUAUUGAUGCUCUUGGAAAAAUGGUUGAUCCCGCCCUUAAAGGGCUCUACCCAGUUAAAUCUCUCUCACGGUUUGCUGAUGUCAUUGCACUUUGCAUCCAGCUGGAGCCUGAGUUUCGACCACCUAUGUCAGAAGUGGUUCAAGCGCUUGUUCGUUUAGUGCAACGAACGAACAUGAGUAAGAGAACAAUUGCAAAUGACCUAGGAGCAUCCCAAAGAGCCGUCAACUCAGACACGCACGAGUGAAUCCAUGCCUCCAACAUCUGCAAAAUUCUUCUUUGAUAAAACAGAGCAGAAACGGCAAAGUUUUUUGGUUUUUCUUCUUUUUCUUUCAUUUUUUCUUUUUACUCCCUGAAUGGAGCUUGUACAUACCAGUUAUUUAGCCUGCUGCACCAUUUGUUACCAGAAUUGAGCUGAACUUGUAGCUGUCCAUGUUGCUAUCCAAAAGUGAUAUGGACCAUACAAAAGUGUAUCUCCAUGCAAGUCAUGUUCAUAGGAAUUGAGUUUAUUUACGACUUUCUCAAGGCGACAAAUCGAGGGUAUCUCCAUCAAGAUUACUCAUGCAACCCUACUGCACUUAAAUUAAGCAUAGUCAACAAGAUUUGCCACAUUGUUGGUUUUUGGCCGCAGGUUUCAACUUUUUCUAUUUCAUCCUCCAUGUCGGUUUCACGUUCGAUUUUUUUACUCUCGACUUUUCUGUUGCUUCGUGGGAUUCGAUUUUGAUAUUUACCAUGCAGGGGUUUCAAUUUUUGCCUAUGCCCCAUAGAAAAUGGUGCGGACGAAUUUAAAAUGGUCAGAUCACAGAUCAAAGGGCUAGAAAAGGCUUACAUAUUUCUCGUAGUUGUGGGUUGCAGCUAUUCCACAACCAAGGAAUGAACAUUCACAGCA